CACGAUCGAUCUCCUCCUGAAGUACCGGCGCAAGUGCAUUAAGAAUUUGUGGGUUGCCUUUUGAAAAAAGUCAAAUCCUAUAAAUUUAAAGUAGGAAUUUGUAAAAUAAGAAAAGAAGACAAGUGCUAAGUUUUAGUAAAAACAUGCUUAGAUGGGAAAUAGUUAAGAGAAAUCAGGAUUAGAAGAUAUGUUAAAUUUAAAAAAAUACAAUAUGUUUUAAUAUUAAAUAGGUAAAA